CUCAAUUUCUCCAAUCAGAAAGUUGGAGUGAUGAUACUUAAAGCCGUUUCACUACAGAUUUACAUCCGAAAAAUGUGCAUGGAAAUUUAUACAACCUGAUUGCUGAACAUUCGUUCGGACGAACGUCGAUUUCACCGCCUGCGGGAAUAUAUUUUUGACCAAUGAAAUCUUUUGUUACCAAUAAUGUCUUUUGGAACAAUGGGCGUUUUGUUUUUGGGGUAACGGACCAUCGGACAAAAUGGGCUUUCAGUCCAAUGGGACAUUUUUCGGACUAUUUGUGUUUCAGAAUAAUGGGCCUUCGGAACGAUGGGUCGUCCCUUUCUCAACACCCAAUAAUGUACGACAGCAUGCCGCGACCACUACCUCAACAACCAAAUAAAGGCCAAUAUAUGGCUUGAGAUCACCCAGCAGCUGGGAUACGAUGAAGAUGUUCCUGUAAUGAAAUGUGACCAGUGAUCUUCCGAUUUCGCCACUGGAAUGAAACCUGGAAGGAAGUUCAUCGAGCCCCCGUAAAGAAACUGCAAAUACACAAAGACUGUCGCGGUCCUGUUCUACAGCACCAAUAACUGCAUCUUCCAUCACCAUGUGAUUGAACACUGUGAUUCUGUAUAUUAUCCAUUCAACAGAAUGAAGCCCUUCCCUCAACCCUCUGCAACACAUGACACAAGUACUACUACUUUUAAUCAGAAUUCUGGAGUAAUCUCAAACAUGUAUUUGUUUUUUGUUUUUUUUCAUUUGGCACCAAUGAUCCUCCAUAUUUUGUUCCUUUGUUUUAUAGAAUGUAAAAACAGAAAAUAAGCUUUUAAACUGUUGUAUCACUACAUGGAAAUUCUAUGCUGUUUGCACUUUACAAAGUAUUUUAUGGUUGUAUUAUUAUGUGAAUUUUGGGUUAGUAUUAAUAUUGCACGAUGCAAUCCUGUCUUAUUUUUUCUACAAACACUUGGUCCACAGAUUAUGCCUUUAAUUUCACAUCUGUGUGGGUGGAUGUCUCAUUUUGGAAUUAAACUAUUCAGCUCUUUGUUCUCGUGGUUGUAUCUAUACAAAUGCAAAUAAGGUUUUAUCCUGACUUUAACACUAUCCACCGUGUUGUUCACUUCUUACAAACGUUCCCGUCCUUUAAAUCCCUCCUUACAUCCUCAAGCCAUGAUUUUGGAAUCAGACAUAUUUCCUCAAAUGCUUUCAAUACGACCAAAAGCUUGUGGGCGGGAAUGUGUUUUUUCUCUCUCCUCUCUACAGUUGUUGGAUGUCUCUGGGGAGUCUGCUGGAUUAUGGAGGGGAUUUCUGUUGGAUUUCUGUGAAAUAAAGACUGUUUUUUUAGCCACUC